GAGAACAGAACAGAACAGAACAGAACAGAACAGAACAGAACAGAACAGAACAGAACAGAACAGAACAGAAGUGUGUCACUGCUAGAGAGGGUUCAGGGAUCACUAAGGAUGUUGGUUACUCAAGUAGAGAGAUAGAAGUGGCUGUCAGGCAGGGGCAUGCAGGGAUACACUCUUCCUCUAGCUCAAUCCAUGGAAGGGCUUGCUCCAUGCUUCCAGCCAAGAAUGUGAGGAGGAACUAGAAGCCACCUCUCCAGGACUGGAGAAGAUAGAGACCCAGAUUCGAGGUGGUUCAGCUGGCCUCCUUGCCUUGGCUCUGGUUUGGUUGGAAGUCAAACCAGUUUCAGGAGCAAUGUGACUACAAACCCUACAAGAGUUGAAAAACUGGAAAUGAUAUUGAUGCAGAAAAAAAUACGGAUCUUCCACAAAAAUGGUUCUUCCUCUGCAACAGUCAUCAGGCUUCUCCUCACUCUUCCUGAGAGAGAGAGAGAGAGAGUGUGUGUGUGUGUGUGUGUGUAUGAAUGUGUCUGAGUAUAAGUGUGUGCAUGUAUGUGUGUGUGUG
rnacentral:lncRNA from 1 species